GAUAGCCCAGCUGAGAUAGGUUCAUUCCUUUUAUAUGGGCUUUCAUUGUAUUGGCAGGAUCCACUGUGUGUGUUGUCAUGGAAAUGGAAUCUUUGCUAGUAGAGAUGGAGUCAGAUGAAGACAGCAAAUGGUGAGCUGAUGACUUCCUUUGAAGGAAAUAACCCUAGUAUGAAAAGACUUACUUGGACUUGUUUCAGGAUGUCUAGUAGUGUUAGAUUCCCACCCGGUUGUUGUGCCUUCUCUAAUGGCUGCCAUGUGGGAAAAGGGAAAAAGGUCCCUUUGGGGCUAGUGUCUAAGGAAGGAUUAGUGUCUAGCAUGCCCUUGGACUCAACUGUUGUGGAUCCAUGUGGGAGAGAGCUAGUGCCCAUAGAUACUCUUGAAGAAACUUUGGUUUGAGUAGGAGGGAGGGUCGUUCCAGAGAAGAAAUAGUUGUCUGAGUUGUCUCUGGACAUUGUUUCCCUGCAGCAGAAUUCACAGGUAGGACUGAUCAGAGCCUAGGCCAUAAGAGGUCCCUCCUAGUGUCUUUAAACUGGGAGGUACCAAAUCUGUGUAUCCAACCUCAAAAAGACUGGUUGGCCAUGUCCUCUCAGCUAGCCAGGGAUAGACCCCUGGGAACUGCUAUCUUUGUGUACUUGCUGGACAAUCCUGUGUCUAAGAGAGAUGAUUUGAGGUAGAGCUAAGAUGGAAUGGGAAAGCUCCAGUUGCUCUGAAAAUCCUCUCCAACCACUCUAAAAUAACAUUUCAAAAUGAAUUUUGGAGUAAUUGAACCAACACGGGCACAGAGUGCAGUAACUUUCCUGCAGAAAAUAACUUGGAAGGUAGACAGGGGAUCUCUUUCACGGUGGUGAGAGGAGAGUACAGCUGGCAGCAAAGCUGUACCAAAGAGUAAAGGCACAAGGCAAUAGCAACCCUUGCCAACUACUCACCUAUUGCUUUAGGUCUAGUCAUACUCAAUUUUGGUACCCUGAGUCCCUGCCUAAGCAAAUUAACAAUACACCCCUUUCCUAAUCCAUGAAAUUCCAAGCCCUAGCUCAAGCCUCUAAUGAGGCCCCAUACCCUAAUGCAAAGCAAUCCAUGGAGUUGCUGGCCAGUGCAACUCUAAGAGGAGGCUAGAACUCUUGGAAAAGACUGCAGUCAGGCCCCAAACCCCAGUGUAAGGUAGUCCACAAAGAAUAUGCCUUAUAUAGAUGCAGAGUGCAAUGAAGCCCCAAGCCCCAGUGCAAAAGAGUUCACAGUGCAACUAGCUCAUGUUAGCCCUUGAAACUUCUUCCUGUUUUAAUAAAUAUUAUAAAAAUGACAAUUGUAUCUAAAUUAAUAUACUUAUUCAGUGACACACAAUUCAAACUAUCAAAGAUAUAUUUUCUAGAAGUAGAAAAAAUAUCAAAAUUCUCCCGGAAGAACAAUAGAGUAAGAAUUUAAUGAAGGGAAUAAAUGGCAAAAUGAAGGAAUAUGGCCUAGCAGUACCAAAUCUCAAACUGACCUAUAAAGCUGAAUCAUCAAAACAAUAUAGUCCUGGCUAAAAAGUGACAAGAUUCAAGCUUUGGGGAUAAGAACUCAAUGUUGAAUAAAAACUGCUGUAUAAACUGUGUAAACUGUUAAAACAGUGUGGCAGAAAUGAGGUAGAGACCAAUAUCUCAUACCUUAUGCCAAGAUAAAGUCAAAAUGGGUAUAUGGUUUAGAAAUAAAGAGUGAUACUAUAAUAAAGAAGGGAGGGUGGAAUGGUUUCUUGAUGGGUCUGUGCAAAAGGAAAUAAUUUAUGACCAAACAAGAGAUAGAAAACAUUACAAAAUAGAAAAUGAAUAAUUUUGAUUUCAUUAAUUUUUGUGUACAUGAAUCCCAUAUAACCAAGACUAGAAGGGAAACAAUAAAAAGGCGGGAGGGUAUAAAAUUUCUCUAAUAAAGGUCUUGUUUCUCAAACUUGUAGAGAACUAAGUCAACUUUAUAAGAGUACAAGCCAUUCCCCAAUUGACAACUGGUCAAAGGAUGUAAACUAGCAGUUUUCAGAUGAAGGAAUUAAAGUGGAAAAAGAGACACACAGAGACAGUCCCUUGAAGUUGGAGUGAAGACAGUCACGUGGAGCUGGAGGGAAGACAGACACUUGAGGAGAGACUGGAAGAUAGACAGUCAGACUUGGAGUGAAGACACUUGGCUGUGGAACUGGACCCGUGGAGGAGCUUGUGCAGGAGAUUUCAGACUACUUUCCUUUUAGACAGUCACAGUGGUGAGUAUCUAGGCUGACAUCUUCCUUGUCCUUCCUGGAGGUAUGAACCUCCAUGAAAGGCCUAUUGUCUUGAGACACCUUUCCCCUGACUGGUGCCUUAGAAUUUCUAACUGGUUCAGAGGAAACUAGAGCUCUAGCUCUCUCUCUCUCCCUCUGUCUCUGUCUCUGUCUAUCACUCUCUCUCUCUCUCUCACUCUCUUUCUUUCUUUGUCUCUCCCCUUUUCUCUCUUCCUUAAUAUCUUCCCUCUAUUGUAAAAAUAAACUACCAUAAAUUACACUUUA